UUUAACUGAGCGUUCAGUUACUUGACGUAGACCCGAAACCGGGCGACCUACCCAUGAGCAGGAUGAAGCGAAAGUAAAAUUUCGUGGAGGUCCGAACCCACGAGCGUUGAAAAGCUCGGGGAUGACUUGUGGGUAGCGGUGAAAUUCCAAUCGAGCCCGGAGAUAGCUGGUUCUCCCCGAAAUAGCUUUAGGGCUAGCCUCAAGGUGAGAGAUACGGAGGUAGAGCACUGAAUGUCCUAGGGGGUAUUGCACCUACCGAAGACUAUCAAACUCCGAAUGCCGUCAUCUUAUACUUGGGAGUCAGACUGUGGGUGAUAAGAUUCAUAGUCGAAAGGGCAACAGCCCAGAUCGUCAGCUAAGGUCCCUAAAUGUAAGUUAAGUGGUAAAGGAUGUGGGAUUGCACAGACAACCAGGAUGUUGGCUUAGAAGCAGCCACUCAUUCAAAGAGUGCGUAAUAGCUCACUGGUCGAGUGAUCCUGCGCCGAAGAUUUCCGGGGCUAAAACUUACUACCGAAGCUACGGCAUCAGUAAUGAUGGGUAGGGGAGCUUCCCAUACGGGUUGAAGCAUGACCGUAAGGACAUGUGGACAGUAUGGGAGUGAGAAUGUUGGCAUGAGUAGCGAGAUGUGGGUGAGAAUCCCACAGGCCGUAAACCCAAGGUUUCCAGGGGAAGGUUCGUCCGCCCUGGGUUAGUCGGGACCUAAGCUGAGGCCGAAAGGCGUAGGUGAUGGACAACAGGUUGAUAUUCCUGUACUACCGAUAACCAUUUGAGAGAAGGGAUGACACAGUAGGAUAAGCUAAGCACACUGUUGGUUAUGUGUGCCCAAGCAUUGAGGCAGUCAAAGUAGGCAAAUCCGCUUUGAUAAUGCUGGGAUGUGAUGGGGAGCGAAAUUUAGUAGCGAAGUAGCUGAUUUCACACUGUCAAGAAAAGUCUCUAUCGAGGUUAAAGGUACCCGUACCGCAAACCGACACAGGUGGGUGAGGAGAGUAUCCUAAGGCCAGCGAGAGAACUGUUGUUAAGGAACUCGGCAAAAUGACCCCGUAACUUAGGGAUAAGGGGUGCCACCAUCAGGUGGCCGCAGAGAAUAGGCCCAAGCGACUGUUUACCAAAAACAUAGGUUUCUGCUAAGUCGCAAGACGAUGUAUAGGAGCUGACGCCUGCCCGGUGCUGGAAGGUUAAGGGGAUCUGUUAGAGCAAUCGAAGCAGUGAACUUAAGCCCCAGUAAACGGCGGCCGUAACUAUAACGGUCCUAAGGUAGCGAAAUUCCUUGUCGGGUAAGUUCCGACCCGCACGAAAGGCGUAACGAUUUGGGCACUGUCUCAACAACAGACUCGGUGAAAUUGUAAUUCCGGUGAAGAUGCCGGAUACCUGCGACAGGACGGAAAGACCCCAUGGAGCUUUACUGUAGCUUGACAUUGGGUCUUGGUACUACAUGUACAGGAUAGGUGGGAGGCUUUGAAACCAGGACGCCAGUUUUGGCGGAGCCAUCCUUGGGAUACCACCCUUGUAGUACUGGGACUCUAACCAUAGGCCAUGAAUCUGGUCUUGGGACACUGUCAGGUGGGCAGUUUGACUGGGGCGGUCGCCUCCCAAAAGGUAACGGAGGCGCUCAAAGGUUCUCUCAGUACGGUCGGAAAUCGUACGUAGAGUGUAAAGGCAAAAGAGAGCUUGAUUGCAAGACAUACAGGUCGAGCAAGGAUGAAAAUCGGACUUAGUGAUCCGGUGGUUCUGCGUGGAAGGGCCAUCGCUCAACGGAUAAAAGCUACCCUGGGGAUAACAGGCUUAUCUCCCCCAAGAGUCCACAUCGACGGGGAGGUUUGGCACCUCGAUGUCGGCUCAUCACAUCCUGGGGCUGUAGUAGGUCCCAAGGGUUGGGCUGUUCGCCCAUUAAAGUGGUACGCGAGCUGGGUUCAGAACGUCGUGAGACAGUUCGGUCCCUAUCCGUCGCAGGCGUAGGAAAU
rnacentral:rRNA from 1 species